rnacentral:rRNA from 1 species
GGCAGGUACAGCGGGAAGCCACCUGGCGACAGGGAGCGGAACCCGAAAGCCUGUCUCAGUUCGGAUUGGAGUCUGCAACCCGACUCCAUGAAGCCGGAUUCGCUAGUAAUCGCGCAUCAGCCACGGCGCGGUGAAUACGUUCCCGGGCCUUGUACACAUCGCCCGUCAAGCCAUGGAAGCCGGGGGUGCCUGAAGUGCGCUGCCGCAAGGAGCGCCCUAGGGUAAAACCGGUGACUGGGGCUAAGUCGUAACAAGGUACC